AGUGAACGCUGGCGGUAGGCCUAACACAUGCAAGUCGAACGGCAGCACAGUAAGAGCUUGCUCUUACGGGUGGCGAGUGGCGGACGGGUGAGGAAUACAUCGGAAUCUACUUUUUCGUGGGGGAUAACGUAGGGAAACUUACGCUAAUACCGCAUACGUCCUACGGGUGAAAGCAGUGGAUCUUCGGACCUUUCGCGAUUGAAUGAGCCGAUGUCGGAUUAGCUAGUUGGUGUGGUAAAGGCCCACCAAGGCAACGAUCCGUAGCGGGUCUGAGAGGAUGAUCAGCCACACUGGAACUGAGACACGGUCCAGACUCCUACGGGAGGCAGCAGUGGGGAAUAUUGGGCAAUGGGCGAAAGCCUGAUGCAGCCAUACCGCGUGGGUGAAGAAGGCCUUCGGGUUGUAAAGCCCUUUUGUUGGGAAAGAAAAGCAGCAGGUUAAUACCCCGCUGUUCUGACGGUACCCAAAGAAUAAGCACCGGCUAACUUCGUG
rnacentral:rRNA from 1 species